AUGAACGCUGCGGCGUACCUAACGCAUGCAGUCGAACGAGAGGCAGAGAGUAUCGAAGCCUUUGAGUGGCAAACGGGUGAGUAACACGUGGGUAAUCUUAUCCUCCGAUGGGGAAUAACGGAUCGAAAGGUUCGCUAAUACCGCAUGAGGUUGAGUGAUGCGAAUUGCCUCAAGCAAAGCUCUUCGGAGCGUCGGGGGCGGAGCCUGCGGUCGAUCAGGUAGUUGGUGAGGGGUAACGGCUCACCAAGCCGAGGACCGGUAGCUGAUCUGAGAGGAUGACCAGCCACACUGGCACUGCGACACGGGCCCAGACUCCUACGGGAGGCAGCAGCGAGGAAUAUUGCGCAAUGGGCGAAAGCCUGACGCAGUAACGCCGCGUGCGGGAUGAAGACCUUCGGGUUGUAAACCGCUUUUCAGGAGGACGAGCGAGGACGGUACUCGUGGAAUCAGUCUCGGCUAACUACGUGCCAGCAGCCGCGGUAAGACGUAGGAGGCGAGCGUUAUCCGGAUUCACUGGGCGUAAAGCGCAUGUAGGCGGCUCGACAAGUCGUGUGUGUAAGCCCCCGGCUCAACCGGGGAGGUCAUGCGAGACUGUGGGGCUUGAGGGCAGCAGAGGAGCGUAGAACUCCCGGUGUAGCGGUGGAAUGCGUAGAGAUCGGGAAGAACACCAGUGGCGAAGGCGGCGCUCUGGGCUGCAACUGACGCUGAGAUGCGAAAGUGUGGGGAGCAAACGGGAAUUAGAUACCCCGGUAGUCCACACCCUAAACGAUGAGCGCUAGGUGUGGGUGGAAUGCCAUCCGUGCCGUAGCCAACGCGUUAAGUGCUCCGCCUGGGGACUAUGAGCGCAAGCUUAAACUCAAAGGAAUUGACGGGGGCCCCGCACAAGCAGCGGAGCGUGCGGUUCAAUUCGAUGCGACACGAAGAACCUUCCAGGGUUUGACAUGGGCGUGGUAGCGAAGCGAAAGCGGAGCGACCCGCAAGGGAGCGCCGACAGGUGAUGCAUGGCUGUCGUCAGCUCGUGCCGUGAGGUGUUGGGUUAAGUCCCGCAACGAGCGCAACCCCUGUUGCCAGUUACAAGUGUCCUGGCGAGACGGCCCGGCGGAUUCGUCGGAGGAAGGCGGGGGGAUGACGUCAAGUCAGCAUGUCCUUUAUAUCCUGGGCGACACGCACGCUACAAUGGGUGCCGACAGAGCGUAGCCAAACCGAAAGGUGGAGCUAAUCGCACAAACGCACCCACAGUUCAGAUUGCCGGCUGGCAACCCGCCGGCAUGAAGUCGGAGUUGCUAGUAAACGCGCGUCAGCCAUAGUGCGUUGAAUACGUUCCCGGGCCUUGUACACACCGCCCGUCACAUCAUGGGAGUCGGCAACCACCUGAAGUCGGUCAGCGAACCGCAAGGACGCAGCCGCCGAAGGUGGGGCUGGUGACUGGACG
rnacentral:rRNA from 1 species